rnacentral:rRNA from 1 species
AUACAGAGGGUGCAAGCGUUAAUCGGAAUUACUGGGCGUAAAGCGCGCGUAGGCGGUUUGUUAAGUCGGAUGUGAAAUCCCCGGGCUCAACCUGGGCACGGCAUCCGAUACUGGCUGACUAGAGUGUGGGAGAGGAAGGUAGAAUUCCAGGUGUAGCGGUGAAAUGCGUAGAGAUCUGGAGGAAUACCGAUGGCGAAGGCAGCCUUCUGGCCUAACACUGACGCUGAGGUGCGAAAGCAUGGGGAGCAAACAGGAUUAGAUACCCUGGUAGUCCAUGCCGUAAACGAUGUCAACUAGCCGUUGGGGACCUUGAGUCUUUAGUGGCGCAGCUAACGCGAUAAGUUGACCGCCUGGGGAGUACGGCCGCAAGGUUAAA